GCUUGUUCGACUUAUAAUGGAAACCCCGCCUUCUCGCUGAGCUCUGAAGAUCAGCACGUACCGCACGAACACUUUCACUACAGUUGUUGUACAGACCUGAGACUUGAAGUAGGUCUCUUGAGGAGUUCCAAGGAUGUCAGCAGAGGCGAUGUCAAGGUGUAGGAGGAUCUGACGAAACGACGGCCUAUUCCUGGGCUUGCCUUGCCUGGAAGGUGAGAGGAGGAUUUUGAAGCCAUCUGGGCAGGUGGAGGGGACAGGAAGGUGAAGACUGUUGCUGCCAACACCCCAAAUGAUGGCCGAAGAGUCUACAUCUUUGUAGGGAAUCUCUCCGGCUCAUUUCUUAUCACCUCUGGGGCCAUCCAGGCCACCGUUCCCGCAAAUGACAUCUUUGUACUUUUGUCGCUGAGCUCUUUGGACGUUCCAAAGUCGGAGAUUUUCACAGUGUCGUUGUGUAGGUAGUUCAUGCCGCUGGCGAUGCCUGAGGCCCAGUCCACCAGCAGCCUGG